UUCAGCUGUGGGCCCAGAAGGCAGGACUCCGGGAUCCUCCACCAUGGCCUGGUCCCCUCUCCUGCUCACCCUCCUGGCUCACUGCACAGGGUCCUGGGCCCAGUCUGUGCUGACUCAGCCGUCCUCCGUGUCUGGGGCCCUGGGCCAGAAGGUCACCAUCUCCUGCAAGGGAAGCAGCAGCAACAUCGGGAACAGCAAUUACGUGCACUGGUACCAACAGCUCCCAGAGACGUCCCCCAGACUCCUCAUCUAUGAGAAUAACAAUCGGCCUUCAGAGAUGCCUGACCGAUUUUCUGGCUCCAAAUCUGGAACUUCAGCCUCCCUGACCAUCUCAGGGCUCCAGGCUGAGGACGAGGCUAUCUAUCACUGUCACUCCUAUGAUGACAGCCUCAAAGCUCACACAGUGCUCCAGGCCAGGGGGGAAGUGCGACAAGAACCUGCUGUCUGCCCAGCCCUGGGGCUUCUAUGCUCAGCGCCCACCCAGGGACAAGUCAGCUGCUCCCUCUGUCUGUUUGCCCUGACGCUGGGGGCUGGGCUCCUGUCCAGGGACAUGUGUCUAGACAAAAUGCCCUCACCUCUCCGAUUCUGCCCCCAACCCAAUCUUCUAACGAUAAUAUAA